rnacentral:rRNA from 1 species
AUUGAACGCUGGCGGCAGGCCUAACACAUGCAAGUCGAGCGACCGGCGGACGGGUGAGUACUGUAUGGGGACUGCCCGAUAGAGGGGGAUAACUGCUGGAAACGGUAGCUAAUACUGCAUCCUAUCGGAUAACCUAUGGGGGAUUAGCUAGUAGGUGAGGUAAUGGCUCACACAGGCGACGAUCCCUAGCUGGUCUGAGAGGAUGAUCAGCCACACUGGAACUGAGACACGGCCCAGACUCCUACGGAGGCAGCAGUGGGGAAUAUUGCACAAUGGGCGCAAGCCUGAUGCAGCCAUGCCGCGUGUGUGAAGAAGGCCUUAGGGUUGUAAAGUACUGUCAGUCGGGAGGCGUUACCGACAGAAUAAGCACCGGCUAACUCCGUGCCAGCAGCCGCGGUAAUAC